GCAGGUACAGGUCAGAGGUAGAGCGUGUGCUUGACAUGCAUGAGGUCUUGGGUUCAAUCCCCAGUACCUUCA
rnacentral:tRNA from 1 species